CACACCCUCUUCCUGUCCGUCAGAAGAAAACUGCGGCGCACAGACCCGCCCACUUGACAACCAUGUGUCCUACAUACACACGACUGUGCCAUUUCCUCACUCUCCUCCCACAAGAACACAUAACAAAGCAUCUGGCGCUCACGAUUCAGGCCUGUUGAGAAACCAACGUCUCGAUGGACUCAAUCCAGCUCUACAUCUCCCUCUGGUCGGGAAAAAGCAUGCAUUGGAGUAUCUAAAAACACAGAUACGUGGAGGAGUCUGGAGUAAUCUCCGAACCCUCCAGUGCUAAGGGACGGGAAUGAAGUGAGUGUGGGACACGUUAGUCCACAGCACGUCACGUCAGCUUCGCCUCUUUGAGAUGGAGUGACCUGGAGAACACACUCCCCUGAUGAUUGAUCUGGAUGAAAUUGUGUGGCUCCAAAAUGCUGAAAGCUGUCAGAGCUUGUCCAUUUUCGGACGAGAACACAGUACAACAGAAAAAUAGAGCUCCCUCUAUUUUAGAAGUGUUAGUAUUUUAAAAGAAAGAAAGA